CCUGCACUGGUUUCUUUUUCCCAGUUCUUACCCUAUCUCUUCUCUUUUUUGUUUCUCAGAACAGAAGUUCUUGGCAUAACACUGUUGUUACUUUACUAAUUUAAAUAAAAUCCAAGUCCAAAAGGGAAAGAGUGUGCCUAUCCUUUCAUAUUAGAUUUAUGCCACAGAUGACACUACCUUGAUAGAUACAGGCAGUUCUGUGCUAGACUUCAAUAAACAUUACAACUUUCACACUGAGCCUUUAUCAAAAUACCACCAUAGAAAAAAAAAAAAAAACAAAUUAAAAAAAAAAUCUCAAUUUCAUUUUUAUUUUCAAUUUGCUGCAGAAAGUAGAGGAGAAGAAAAUGAGGGAAAUUCUGUCAAGAUCCAUGAUAGUCAUCCUUAUUUAACAGUACAUCCCCAUUUGCUAGACGCAGAAGCUAGGUGUUUAGGGAUCAUGUUUUCCCAGUCUUUCCCUCUGAAAUAAUCAGGCUCUGACAAUCUUUGUAGUCAAGAGCCAACAGUUUGGGUCUGAUGGCUUAAAAGAGGUCUCCCAUUUGUUCUAGAAGUCACAGAAACAAUCCCAGUUCCUUCCAACAUAACAGCAAGGCCACAGAAAAGGCUCAUCAGAGACUUCUUAGUGAAGAUAACUAGGAGUGAAGAGGAGCUGCCUCUGAAACUGUCUUUUGAAACAGGUAGUAUUGGAAGGUCUCUUUUUCUGUAAUACUUUUUUCCUAGUCAAUAUCAUUUUUUUUUGCUAGUAUUCAAAUGGUCAGGAAAACCUGCUGAGAGUGGAAUUAAAUUAAAAUUCCAGCACCUACAAUCUUCAUAAUUGGCUUCCCACAUGGAGAUGCCAUUUUUCUAGGCUUUACCUAGUGAUACUGUUAGAACUCACUUCUUACCACUAUUCCAAUUCUCGCUGUUAGAUACUUUGGUGGCUUCUCAGCCAAAGACUAAUAAACUCAAUGUGUCAGAAAGUGAGAGUCCCUUCUAUCCCUUCACCUAUCAGAAAAAGUCUUAUGAAACAAAGUUAUUACGGAAGGGAGAUAGAGAUGCAAGGAGUCUUUCAUAAUUGGCUAUGUAAUUGUUAUCUGUUGUACUCCUUCACUGAGUAGGAUUUAACAGGAAUAAUGAUCUGUUGUUCUAUCAACUGUACAAUCCAUUUGUUCUUAUUUAACACUACUUUGUCCCAUUCAAGUCCUUGCAGACUGUUAUUAAAAAUGUUAUCU
ensembl:lncRNA